UGCAGUCGAGCGGGGAAGGGUAGCUUGCUACCUGACCUAGCGGCGGACGGGUGAGUAAUGCUUAGGAAUCUGCCUAUUAGUGGGGGACAACAUUCCGAAAGGAAUGCUAAUACCGCAUACGCCCUACGGGGGAAAGCAGGGGAUCUUCGGACCUUGCGCUAAUAGAUGAGCCUAAGUCAGAUUAGCUAGUUGGUGGGGUAAAGGCCUACCAAGGCGACGAUCUGUAGCGGGUCUGAGAGGAUGAUCCGCCACACUGGGACUGAGACACGGCCCAGACUCCUACGGGAGGCAGCAGUGGGGAAUAUUGGACAAUGGGCGCAAGCCUGAUCCAGCCAUGCCGCGUGUGUGAAGAAGGCCUUUUGGUUGUAAAGCACUUUAAGCGAGGAGGAGGCUACUUAGAUUAAUACUCUAGGAUAGUGGACGUUACUCGCAGAAUAAGCACCGGCUAACUCUGUGCCAGCAGCCGCGGUAAUACAGAGGGUGCGAGCGUUAAUCGGAUUUACUGGGCGUAAAGCGUGCGUAGGCGGCUUUUUAAGUCGGAUGUGAAAUCCCUGAGCUUAACUUAGGAAUUGCAUUCGAUACUGGGAAGCUAGAGUAUGGGAGAGGAUGGUAGAAUUCCAGGUGUAGCGGUGAAAUGCGUAGAGAUCUGGAGGAAUACCGAUGGCGAAGGCAGCCAUCUGGGCUAAUACUGACGCUGAGGUACGAAAGCAUGGGGAGCAAACAGGAUUAGAUACCCUGGUAGUCCAUGCCGUAAACGAUGUCUACUAGCCGUUGGGGCCUUUGAGGCUUUAGUGGCGGCAGCUACCGCGAUAAGUAGACCGGCUGGGGGAGUAGGGUCGCAAGACUAAAACUCGAGUGAAUUGACGGGGGCCCG
rnacentral:rRNA from 1 species